GGCUGCAGCAGGAGGGACCAGGGGAGCAAGAGGAGGACAGACUCCGGCACGCUAACAACCACAACCAUCAUCAUCAUCGCCAUCGCCAUGCGUACCUGCUGCUCUGGGGACUCGCUGCCUCCUGUCAAACAGCACGAGGACCCCGCUUCGCCUGCAAUGCGAAGCCGCGUGUGUGUAAAUGUAUGUGACUGCAUCUGCUUGUGUGUUUGUGUGUGUACAUGUGUGCGCGAGCAUCCUGCUGUCUACAUAACUCCUUCUCAGUCUUGGCUCACUCUUUGGCUUUGACUGUUCACUCCUCUUUCUCUUCCUUCACCUCACCCCUCUGUCUCCCCCUCCUCCUCCAUUUCUCACUGUAUCACUCCAUAUAUUCAUGAAUUUUCCUGUUUAUCAUGAAAACUUAUGCAUGAAAAUAGAGGGUGGGAAGGAGAAAAAAAAACAAAAACAACAACAACAAAAAAAAAGGGUGAAUGUUGAUGGGGGUUUUGUCUGGUCCGGGUGCAGCGCUGCACAGGCAGCAUGACUCUCAGGGGACUCCUGCUAGAAGACCCUGAUUCCAUCUCCCUUUUCUUUUCAUUUCCUGUCUUUUCUUUCUUUCCAUUUCACCUUCCUUCCUUUUUUUCCCCUCCCUUCUUUUUCCAAACAUUCAUCCCCCCUUUGCUUUAGCUUGCCCCCACCUCCCCGCUGCCUUUCUCUUCUCUCUCUCCUUCACAGUGUCAAAGCCAGUUACAGGCAGAGGAGCUCUCCUUCUUAAAUAAUUCACAAGUUGAUUAAUAGACUCACAAGGGUAUAAUUAGGCAGGGGAGAGAUGGUGGCUAGUGUAACCAGUACAGUGCUUAAGGGAAUUAGAGAGCAGGGUUAUUGAGGAAAUGGAGAGUACCAGUUAAAAAUAAAAUAAAAUAACGCGGCGGCGGCUGCAGUAGUGGACUCGUGGAGGAGAUGAAGAGGCAGGGGGGGGGAGGAUGAGGAGGAAGGGGAUGGGGGUGGGGGGCACCUUUUUUGAGGCUAUGUGUUGGAUAUGAGGCAGCCUCACCAGGAGCACAGAGCCUAGGGUUUGUUUGAUGUGGAAAUUGGACAGUUUGAAUCCGUCUCCUUUAAUUUUUCACAACUUACAGGGCCCCCCUGGGUGCCUCACAUUCCUCUUAUAGGAUAUAAAUUAGUUUUUUUGUCUUCUCUCUCCCUCAGUUUUUAAACCCCCUUUUUUCCUCCUUUUCUUUUACACAUUACCCAGGUACCCCUGUUAUAUUUUUCUCAGCGCCUUCUUCCUCCUCCUCGCUGAACGGAGUUGCAGUUUCACCCCCGAUGUUUGUCAAGCAGUCAGUCAUCAGCAUAAAACUUCACUUAUGUUGCCUCUAAGGCAUCUUUUGUAUUCUGAAAGGGAUGUGCUUUCCGCUGCCAGACUGGUCUUCAAAACAAACAAACAGAACAAUGAAACAACAGAUCUCUCUACUCAGUUCAGACAUCAUAUUCCUGUUGUGGUGAUCUCUGUCUGCCUCACUUUUGCUGUUAAAAUAAAAUGAAAAGAACCAACAGAAAUACACCCAGACAGGUACAACACUAUGCCUUUUCCAGCUUGUGUGAGUGUGUGUGUUUUUUUCCCCCUCUCUCUCCUUCCCGGGAACUUCUCUGUGAGUUAAAGCAGUCAUAUUGGGUACACACUUCUUUUUCUUUGGUUUGCUCCUCUGUAUUUAUUUCAUUGUCGAUAUCUCAGAUUGCUUCCCGUGGUCCCGCUCAGCCGUGUUUCCUCGCACUCAGGAUUCGCCGAUAUCCAAACAGACUGAUGUGUCCAUCCCGGCACGCGGAGCCGGCUCUGAUGUGCGGCGUGUCUGCCUACAUGUCGACGUGUCAACUCUAAUUCAAACUCCUCUGUUCUUUUCUCAUCUGUCUGCUCCAGAUGUUGCACUAGGUGUCAAAAUGGAUACCCGGCUCCUGAGGAAAAAAAAAGGCAGAAAGCAACACAUUUCUCUGUUUGUAGAAACUGAUAGAUACACUUUGAAAUUCAAUUCAGGCAUGCAAGAGGAGAUGAGCCCAAUUCAGAGAGCGAACGCCUUGAUGCCAUUGCUGAUUUCACUUCUUGCUUGUUAUCUUGCUUGUAAUCCUCUGACGUGCCCGCCUAGAGGAAAAAAACAGGCUUCUUAUUGGUUCAUUCACUGGAUUUCUUGUCCGUAUUUGACAAUCGCACAUUAAUUAUCCUAACUGUAACCUGUAAUUGGCCCGUCUUUGUUGUCCCCAGCAGACGAUUAAUGACUUCUUAAUAUUUUCUCAGCUGUGUAGAUACCCUGCCACCAGGAGGCGCUGAAAAGAGCGGGACCCCCGUGUGUUGAUUUAUUUAUCCAUGUCUGGAUUAAAGUCUGUACACCUGAUAAAGGGGAUGUCAGAGGAGCUUUGACAGCCACAGAGGCAGCAGAGUGUGUGCGAUUUGGUCGCUGCGCCGGUAGAAACAAGGAGUGUCGAUGGCAUCUUUGAAGUCUUGACAGACGAGAGCCUCUGAGCAUCCCCUUAAUCUUGCCUUCCCCUCAGAAAAGGCAUGCGAGCAGGCAGGUUCUGAGCGCGCUCGGCUCCCUGUUUGCCUUAUUCUCUUAAUGACACAAACUAUUCAGCGACCACGCAUGAUGGCAUUUCAUCUGGCAUAAUGUGUGGUGGCUGCUUACUUCAAACGCUUCAGUGCAUCUCCGCAUUAAGCCGGCUGGAGACGGCAAGAGCCGGGACAUGAACACACAAGGAUUCUCCUAUUGGCUUGAUGGGAUGCCUGUGUGUUGGGUAUGCUGUUUGAUUGUGCUGAUUGUUUUCGCGGGCCCACCUUAAGCAAAUACAAAGAAUCUGUCGUGUAUGAUUGUCUGGAAAUCAGAUCAGUGGAGAGAGAUAUGUUUCACAAGUGAGCGCUCUGUCUGCCUCAAGUGAUCCACAGCACUUCUAAUGACCCUUGAACUGUUCCUAUUAUUGUUUCUUCACAGAGCACAUGCUGAAUGAUAUUGCUUCUUCAUGCAAAGACAAGCCACUACAAAGCCAAUGUCAGGCAGGUGCAGCAAAAACGAUGAAGGGCUGCCGUGCAUCACUUUGCGCUCCAUCUUGAGCUUAUUUCCCAUCAGCGGUGAUUUGAUGUUUUUCCUCCUCUUCCAAUCUUCCUACCUUUCACAUCAAGGACAAUGACAGAGCAGAAACGCAGGCAGAACAGAGUGCAAGGGGCGUUCGUCGUACACGACCAGAGCUGCUGGGCAGAGAAGGGCGCUGGGGUUAAUUACUCUAUUACCGGGUGGCUCAGCCAGGAGCUGUUUAAACAGGCCCCAGCUAGCAGGGGAUUAGGCCUCAUUACUCCAGCUAAAGUUACGCGCACGACCCUUCCCCACUGCCUCCACAACCACGAGUUUGUCAGGCAUUCUGGGGAAUAUUCAUACUGGGGGAGGCGGGGAGGAUAUAGGAAGGAAUGAGGGAUUAACACCAAGGAGAGACACAAGGACAGGUAAGGGGAAGGAGAGCAAACCGGCCAAAACGACAAGGCUUAACUCCAGCUGAUCACCUGCAUCAUCACUUGAGCCCGGCCAGGGCUACAAUUAUCCCCCAAAAUGCCAGAGCGUUGCAAGAUUAGCAUCUGAGGCUUAGGUUACCCUCCCACCGAACCGAACCCCCGGCCAUCUUCAGCCACCGCCUCUCAGCCGUCCUCCCCCUCCUCACCCGGGUAUCUGAUGGCACUCCGUGAUAAUGACGGUGCUCUAGUUUGCAGGAAGGACAGGCCAUGUGCAAUUAGGUCUAUGUUUGUGGUCCAUGAACAGUGUGCGAUGGGUCAGUUUACCGGGUCUAUAGGGCAUGAAAUAUGUUGGUUUACAGUGACACUCAUAUUCACGAUGAAAUGAGUCUUCAUGAAUGAGUAAUGUUUGUUCACUUCAGAUGUACAGUAACCCUGUCCUCAUAAUCAGGGUUUUAUGAGUUGGUGUAGUUAAUAGUUUAGUUAAACUUUUCACUCAAUGAUCCUUCUCUGUUGGUUGACCGAAUGUUUGGUUAAGUCAGCAUCACCAAGAUGGCGAUUUGCCUCAAAACAGGUGAUUUCACUGAUGGCUACAUCCAGUGAUUUCUACACCAUUCUGUGGUGUGGAGGCAAUUUAGAUUCCCUUGUAUUAAAACAUAAAUUGGAAAACUCUGACUUCACAUCAAGGAAAAUGAACAUGAGACGCCACUUGUUAAUCAUCACCCAAAAGAUUUGAGAUGAUACGAGGAGAAAAUCCAUCUCAAAGCCUGUGAUGGAAAUGUUUCACAGCUUUGCUUCCACAUAACAGACUAAAGAACAUGCAGACUGUGGUGUCUGUGGUUAACAACAAUAGAUUGAGGUUAGUAAACCCAGUUAAACCAAAGUGUCAUGGCCAUAGACUGUAUAUACUAUGGACAACUUGGUUCCGGUUUUUCAUCUUUUCCUGAAACCAACAUUGCGCAGUAGCGUUGUACACACUUCACCGCUUGUGCAGUAGCAUUGUACGCAUUCAGCGGGAGAGUCGCCGAGAGUCGCUGUGAUGACACUCGUCUCAAACAGCUUAUCCCCCGGGUGAGCUACGCAAUCUUCAUACGCCCAUAGGCUGUAUCAAGUGUCAAUCAAAGAAAACAUGAACCCUUGAUAACUUUUUACAACGGAGCUGUACAGAAAAAAGAGGACUUGAGCACAAACCAGUCUUACUGUGACUAUACUGUAUGUCAACAUCGCAAGCAGGGGGAGAAAAAUGUAUAUACUGUGUAAUAAAUUUCUAAAGUUUGUCCACAGCUUCAUAGGGAUUGCUGGAGGAGGCGGGGUUUAUGACCUAUACUGCAGCCCAUCGCCAGAGGGUGCUGUUCUCAGAGUAGCUUCACCCAGCGAGGAGGCAGACGGCGUCCAUUCUCUUUACAGUCUACGGUCAUGUCCAUGUCAUGAAUGGCAGAAUUCAUCUCACAGACCACAGGUUGGUGGACUCCAUGAACUAUUUAGAGUCAAACAAAUGACGUUUUUCACCAAUAAAUACCGUACUUCACUGUCAUAACUGUCAUACUAUCAUAGAGAGGUAGAAACGAUUAAUCCACAAAAAAUUCACAUACAUGAGGUUCUGAUAUAAUGACAUCCCCAACAACGAACCUUCACUGCACAUAACUCAACAUAUGUCUUCUUGUUAAUAAAGAAGACUGCAAAAGCAGGAGGGGAAAAAGGAAAAUUUCUCUCUUUUUGGAUUGAGAUGAAAUGUAAAUGGCUGUUAGUUAGAGCUGAGUAUUUCUUUUACUGUGAAACUGAGUACUUGUUCAGUUGUGUUUCACUCACAAUGAAACCUAACCUGCUUCUUCCUGUCGAUAUCGAUAUGCCUGGGAGGAUAAAGACUUAAGGGAUGUAUUUCAACAAAGUUGCCAAUGGAUCAGAUGGCUAAAGGAGUGGGUGUCUUCCAAUUAGAAGAGUCAACUGUGUACUGGGAGAACUAAUCCAAGGGCUUUUCAAAACAGAUUUGUGAGAGCUUGAGUUGUGGCCUGCUGAACUGUACACUCAAAGUUUUGUGUCAGUGCCCCUUUGUCUUUAGUUCAACCACCUGGAACACACAAGAAGAAGGAAAAAAAGCCCUACAGACAUACGCUUUUGUACCGCACAUUCACACAGUGGUCACGCAAAUCUCUUCAGAGGGUCUGCCAAACGCUGUCGAUAAAAAUCCUAUUUCAUGUGAGUCAAAAUGUUUCUUGAUUUAUGGGACAUGCUCGCUUGCCAAACUAUGUGAUUUAAGAUCCAAUCCUGAACAGAGCCUCUAUUAUAUAAUUGAGGACAGGAAAAUCAAUAGAAGCAGCUGGAUGUGGCCGUGGCAGGCACGCUGCGCAUCCAUAUUGAAAGUGUACCCUCUUCGAUCUGUGUCUGGCCCAGGCUCAGCUUCACUAGCCUAAUCACACACGGAGCUGGUCGAUUGGAGGACUUAGCCAGUGGCGCUCUCCAAUGGCAUAUGUUAACAUGAUUCCCCCUCUUGCUCGCUGUUAAGGAAAAAAAAAAAAAGCUGCACCUGAGAUCUGUGGCCAUUGAGAGUCAGAAAAACAGGGAUUGUUUUAAACAUAGCCUGAGGUGAGAGCGAGAUUCUCCGCUCCGGUAACCUGAGCAAGCUGGAGGCGGACGGCUGAGGACAAGAGGGGCAAACAGGAUAUUUAUCCUAUUGAUUUUCUAAAGUUGAAACAAGAAGAUUUAGGGGGGCUUGACUCUUAAAAUUCCCAAGGAGCCAUUCACUUCUCAGCCGCAUGGCCAUGAACACACACUCACACACACACACGCAGAAAGCAUCCUGCUUGUGAGAGUGUGAGUGAGGUUUAGGGGCCUUGAGCUGCAAAGCUGUGCUGUGCUGUGGAAUGAUGUGCCCCAAUGUGUGUCAGAGGAAUCAUUAUAGCUAGUGCUAGUGCCAAAGCCCGCCUAUGGUGUAUGAGUGAGUGUGUGCACGCGUGUUUGUUUGUGUGUGUGUGAGUCAUGUAGCAAAGUGGAGGUGUGAGCAGACAACAGAUGGGAAGGGGCCUCAGAAUUGCAGAGACGUGGCUUUUGUCUCUCCUGCUGAAGGGAGGAAACCCGCAAAUCAACAACAAACGCACAGUGAAGGAAAAUGCGUGGGAAUGUGACUCAGCAUAGAGAAAGUCUCCUGGAGAUUUACAAAUUCAGAUGGCAGGUUCACAGAGCAGGGACUGAGAAACUCGGCCUGUUGCUAUAUAUUUAGUCAUAAAUUUUGCAUUAGGAUAACGAUCUCGCUGAUAAUGGUGAUUUUUUUUCUCCUUUUCAGACUAACAGGCUGCUAGAGGAGUUGAGAAACACGUUAUCCUCAUUGUUAAGAGGUGAACAUUUUCCUGGAGGGAGUUAUUUUGGGCAUUUAAAGCUCAAGAAGUAAAACUACUCUAAGUUCCUACCUAUGAAUGAAUUACUUUUAACUACCGUAGAACAAUAGGCAUAUAUAUGGUUUAAAGGGUGAGAAAAUCCCAUAUGAGUUUGUUUAACAAAUGAAACCUAAAAAAAUCCACCAAGUGCCUUUUAUAAAUAUAAUUUAUAGGCUAAAUAUUUGGCUAAAGUUUCUGACCCUUGCACUUCAACACACUGGGGAAACCUGCUUAGUGAGCAGUUGUUUUCUCAUCAGCUAAAAUGGAAGGUCUGAGGAUAAAGAAACAAACAAACAUGAACUCUCGAUAUGUCUAAGAUCCUACAGAAAUGUGGACAAAUGCCAUUGUCUCCAGAGUGACAUUCAUUUUCAUGUAUAUAAGUUGCAAAUAGAGCCGUUCACUUCACCAUUUGUCAAAGUGAGCGCUCUUAUUGUAAUGCAUUCACACAGGACACUGUCAAAAUCAUGAUGGGACCAGGAGUUAAUGCUUUGACAGGUGCAAUUAUGACUGUAGCCUCUGAACAUGGGGCGCCUGCUUUGCUGACUGAGCUAAAAAAUGUUAUCUCAACCAGGGCCCUGACAAUCCUGAAAUUAAACAUUUUGUUUUUUUCUGGCACAGGUGAGACAAGAUUUGAGUACACUACAUAACCCCCCCGAGGCAAUUUUUGCCAUCAGCCAAUUCCUACCAGGUUUGUGUUGUGCGGCAAAUUUCGUGGCGGAUUACGGACAGCGGGAAUCACGAGAACUCACAAGAACCCGCGGUUUCACAUGCAAUCGCGCGAUAACAAGUUGUCUCUAUAAUGACGGCCACAUAACCGUAUAAUGAGUAGAUUGUGUCCUUAUAGAAGAGGAAAUCCACUUUUAGACUGCUAGAAUCCGCAUCUCCUCAUCCAUGGUGUCAACGGGGUGAAAUAAUGUCUGAAAACUUUUGACCUGUUCGUCCCCGCCCGUGUUUGCAUGGUGUGAAAUACGAUCUGCCUGAAACAUGUGGUGUUUUAUUUUGAAAAGAAGCCGGAAUUUUUAUUUUGUGUCUGUGCCCGGCUUCCUUUCCAAUCUGUGCUGAAUUUAUGCAGCAUGCUGUGGUGACAGAAAAAAUAGAAACCUGGCAAUCGGCUGAACCGCAGCAGGAUGGAAAGAACCCAGUGGAAAUUUACACGUUAACUUAAAUGGAAAUGAUCAGCUGCGAUCGGCACAUACAGCCUUUUCGCCGCCGUUCCGGAUGCGGUGGAAAUAAGGGGUAACACAGAAUGAAAUGCAAUGAACCUUAUGAAGUGUGAACCGUUAGGGCCUGUGUCCAUUUUAACCUGUUCAUAUCCACCGACAGUGCCUGAUUUCAAUGUCAAACCAUCUCUGGAUAUUCACUCUGUAAUUUGUCCUUGAAUCAAAAAAAUACGAAUCUUAAAAAGAGAUGUAAUGGUCACUACUGAGGAAGCAGAAGUGUUGUGUAGAAUGACUGUGCUUUUAAAUGUAGCCCAGAAUUUGCUCACAUGCCUUAAAACUGAGAAAUAUCAGAAUUUGUCGUAUUUUAUGAAGGAAUUUAAAACAGGAUCAGUAUCAUCUUAAAAUUAGUGCACAAUGUGUGAUAAUCACAGUAAUCAGACUGAUCACAGGUCUGCAGUCUUGGCUGCAGUCGUCCGUCUGUGCUCUCCCGCUGCUCCUGCAGGACCUCUCAGGUCAAUCUGCAGCUACGACUCAACGCCCGGCGGUCACGACUUGUGACUCCUCAGUCAUGCUCACAGAUGAUUGCUGAUCGUAUAGGUGGAGAGGAGGUGCCACAGUAAUUGUUCUUUAGAGUGCCCCAAUUAUGCCAAUAAACGGCCCCUCAGUGAUGAGGCUAAUGGCGGGAGACCUCGUUUGCAUAGCAUUAUCUUAAUUGAGCCCGAGGACUGGCAUGAAAACAAGCCUGAGAUUAUGUUACUGAUGGAUGGUGGCGAUGGUCCGGCGGCAACCAUUUACCCGACAGCUAUAUUAAUUAACAGCUAUCCAGUUACAUGGGCUUUAACAGGGAUGAAUAAGUUAACAUGGUGACUGUGACAGCGCUGGUGACAGCACUCCUGUGCUUAUGUGUGGGCUUCUAAUGGAGGAGACACACUAAUACAAGAUGUGUGUGUGUGUGUGUGCAUGUGUGUGUGUGUGUGAGGGAUGCUAAAGAAGGCCUGGCAUCAGAUCUUAUUACCCAUUUCCUAAAGGAGGAAACCGAGCCAGCGUUAGUACCAGCUUUUAAAUAAAUCACCACACAAAGCCUGUACUAAUACUUUAAAUCGUGAAUUAAUUACACACUCAUUGCAGUAAAUGUUCCAAUAUGCUCAAGCCUAAAAUCUUUAUUGCACAAUAUUUCAGGAACGGCAUCUGAACACAAUGCCAUAAAGCACAGACUCGUCGUAGACCACAACCAGGUCCCAUACAGGAUCUAUCAGGAUGGAGUUUUAAAUGAGGCAGGUAGCUCUUUUGUUAUGUAAAGCUCUGCCAUGCGAUCCUGCAGGAUAAAAGAGUAGAGAAAAAGAAACCGUUCAGAUAAGCUUCCCCUCAUCAGAUAAUUAAGGAUGCCUUUGCUCCAGUUUCCCCUCCUUAGCAUAAGUGUCUGAUCAACUUUCAAAAAGCUCAUCAGUCAGAGUUGCUCCGAGGAGCUUCACUCCCGGGUGCUGGAGCUGGAUCCUCCAGGACUGAUCUGCCCAAGUUGAACCCUGCAGCAGGGGAUCUUGGCCCUCAGCUCACCCUGAACAACUAUAACUUUUGCAGAGUUCAUUUUUCUCAUUAACAGCCGUUGAAUUGUAUUGUUCAUAGACUGUAUUUUAUUAGAAGAUCCAGACUCUUGUUUCCUGAGUAAAGCCAAAACCAGAGUUCCUCCAACCUGCACUAGUGAUUUUCAGCAUUUUCCUUCAGAGAAUCUAGGGUCUCAACCUGAUGUGUGGGUCAAGUGGACUGAAUGAUUGAUGUCUUUGUCUAACAGCCAAAAAUGUUUGUCGUUUGUCACCUGCUGCACUAGGACUGACAUUUUGCUCGACUAUUUGGAUGUAAAUAAGCACAGAUGACAGAUGGCAUCUCACAGAGUAGGAGCAGUUAGCAGUAUUUUGAUGAGUUACAUGUAGGGUGUGUCUGAUUAACCCAGCUGGAGCAAUGCACAACCAGAAAAGGCAUGUGGGCUUUCACCUGCAGGGGGAUCCAAGGCUGGUGGUUCUGUCUCGGCGAAGGUUGGCAACUCUGCAGAACAAUUUGACGUCACUUAGCUGCAGCCUCUGCCAUCCUGGAUGACUGUUUUAAUUUUUUUUAAAUUGCGCUCAGUUUUGACAGGCUCUUUUCUAAUGAUAAAUAAUAAUAAUGCAUCAGAUUUCAUAAAGCGCUUUAUCAGAGACCCUUAAAGCAUUUUACAUUGGAUACAUCAUUCAUUCGCUUACAGUCAAAACCUGGUGGUGGUAAACUACCUUAAUAGUCACGGAACGGAAACAUGACUGCCAAUUAGCGCCCAUGGCCACACAACACUCACAAUCAUACACCAGUAUAGGACACACACCGGGAGCAAAGUGGGAAAGUGUCUUGCCCAAGGAACACAAUGGACAAACUCGAGACAGGUGGGAAUUGGACGGCCAGCCCUUCAGUUAUUGGACGACCGCUCUACCUCCUGAGCUACUGGCCUUUAGACUAGUCUGCUAGUCGGAAUGUAAACUUAAGUGGAAAAUGAGUUAUUUAAAACAUCCCUAGGCAUGGGCUCUUGUUUCAUAUAUGAGGCACAGAGUUUAGCAAAGGAGUAACUUCUGUAAGAGUGAAGUCCCUGUAGACUUGUUUAAUCAUAAACCAUUUCAUAAAAUUAUAUUAUUGGCAUGAUAUUGGUAUCAAAAGGUAAAAACUUUAAAGCGUAUCACUAGUAUCUGCAGUGGACAUUUCUGCUGAUAUGUAUGGCAAAUAUGGUGUCAAAUUAAUGAUGG
rnacentral:lncRNA from 1 species